UACGGAGGGGGCUAGCGUUGUUCGGAAUUACUGGGCGUAAAGCGCACGUAGGCGGCUUUGUAAGUCAGAGGUGAAAGCCCGGGGCUCAACCCCGGAAUAGCCUUUGAGACUGCAAGGCUUGAACACGGGAGAGGUGAGUGGAAUUCCGAGUGUAGAGGUGAAAUUCGUAGAUAUUCGGAAGAACACCAGUGGCGAAGGCGGCUCACUGGACCGUUGUUGACGCUGAGGUGCGAAAGCGUGGGGAGCAAACAGG
rnacentral:rRNA from 1 species